UUCAUAGAGAUCCAUUCACUUAAACUAAAGAUAUUGUGCGAAAACCAAUGUGUCUUCGGACAACGAUGACGAAAACGACAUCAACUACGACAUGUGUAAUAGCACAACAUAAGAACAAACUAUUAACAUGUUUUAUUCAUACCAAAUACUUAUUUAUGCAUUAUUACUUUAUAAAGUACUGUAAAUUCAGAAAUUAUUGUGUGCAUUUUUUAUUGUCAAAUCAGAAAUUUAUCAAAAAAACUAAAGGGAGGUUAUUUUAAUAGAUAUAAACCAGUCACCAAAGUUUCAUGAAAAAUGCUCAAAGCACUUUUGAGUUAUUGUCUAAAAAUUGGAAAUCCCCCUUUUUUUAUGAAUAAAAUCCCAUAACUCGGAAACGUAAAAUCUAAAAUUUAUAAAAAUCAAAAGGGAGCUUAAGUCAAUAUAUAUAAACAAUUCAUCAAAGUUUCAUGAAAACUGCUCAAAGCAUUUUUUGAGUUAUUGUCCGAAAACUGGAAAAUUUUAAUGAAUAAAACCCCGUAACUCGGAAACGUAAAAUCUAAAAUUUAUAAAAAUCGAAAGGGAGCUCACGUCUAUAGAUAUAAACAAAUCACCAAAGUUUCAUGCAAAUUGGUUACAGCGUUAUUAAGUUAUUGGCUGACAUGUAGAUGAUGGACAGAUAGACGGACACACGGACGGACGGACCACGGUAACCAUAAUAAUCCUGUAAACGCGCGUAUAAAAAUUCAAUAUCUUUUUAAAUUUUUCAAAAUUUUACGUUUUUCCAUCCUCCAAAUAAUUUUUUCAACGUAUACUACCUUUUAUAGCCGACUAAACAGUAUGAAUUUUUCUCAUUGUUGAAGGCUGUAUGUACGGUGAAUUUCCUAUAAUUGCUUACAUCCACCUUAUUUGAACUCUGGUGGAAAUUUGUCUCAUUGGCAAUUAUCUAUAUAGCAGGUAGAUUUGUUGAAGAUCUGUUCUUGACUAAAAUUGUAAAAUUUUGUAGAAUGCACUUAAAAAAUAAUUUUAUAAACUCAACAACGCUCAAGUAUAUUCGAAGGUAAAUUAUGCUUCAUUUUUGUUAUAUUUACAAUUAGGGUAGUAAGGUUAAAAAAACAUACUUUUCAUGAAAUUUUGUAUAAAUGAAUCAAUCAUAAUCCUUUAAUUCAGAAAAAGUAUGUUAUUUUUAAACUAGAGGCUCUAAAUGUGUCGCUCACCUGCAUCUUCCACAAUGGCCACUUUUUAGUUUAAUCAUCAUUAGCUGAGAAUGACUCUAUUAAGAGUUAACUGACAAUUUCAGUCAUGUUAACAUAUUUGUAGAUCUCAUUUUGCUGAUCAUAUUUUUGUUCAAAAAUUCUAUUUAUUUAUUGAAGUUUUCAAGAUAAAAGGCAAAAAUGGAUACGACCGCAGAGGUUCAACCCUGAACAGUUGGGGCAAAAAUGGACACAAUAUUCAAGCUUGAUACAGGUCUGAAUUUGGAUUGUAAUUAAAUAUUUGACACAUUAUAGGUUUCUGACACAGAAUAAAUGUAGUCAAAGAACUUGAAAUUGGUUAUAUGAUUUCAAUUUAUAUUCAAUUGAAGAUUUCUUGCUGUUGUGCAAUACACUGUGUUGUUGCGCAAUACUUAGUAAAUUUGUUUUCAGACUAUAUACAAAGAAUUAGCAAAAUAAAUUGUGACCCCCAAUUUUUUUUUUGGAAAAUAGAUAAUUUCUUAAAUCUUGAGGAAAAAAAAUUGACUUCCCCCACCUUUCCAAAAAAAAAAUAUUUGAAGAAAUUUUCUUUUUGGAAAAUGUGGUACAAUUUAAGAGACAUCCAUACACUUAAACACAAGUUAUUGUCUGAAAACUAUAAAAAUGCUUGUUUUGGCCCCUAAUUCCUUAACGGUUUGGGCAAUUACCCCCAAACUGAAUCCCAACCUUCUACUUGUGAUAUUGAACCUUGUGGUACAAUUUCAGAGCAAUCAAAAUACUUAAACACAAGUUAUUGUCCUGAAACUAGAAAAAUGCUUGUUUUGGGCCCCUUUUUGGCCCCUAAUUCCUAAACGGUUGGGACCAUCACCCCCAAAAACAAUCCCAACCUUCUUUUUGUGGUAUUGAACCUUUUGAUUAAAUUUCAUAGAGAUACAUAUACUUCAACUAAAGUUAUUUUCCGGAAACCAAAUGUCUUCGGACGACGAUGACGUGAUAGUAAUAUACGAACGCAUAUAAUUUUUUGCGGUCGUAUAUAAGUGAAAAUAAAUGGUAAAAUUUGUCACUUAAGGGCAAUAACUCCUAUAAGAAGUCGUCUGACAGUUUUGACGUAUAUGAACAAUUGGUAGAGCUCAACAUUCUGAACAUUUUUGCCCAUGUCAGUCAGCUUUUCUCUAUUUAUAACGGUUUUCAAAAUAAUAGACAAAACUUGCAUUUUACCCCUAUGUUCUAUUUAUAGCCAUGUCGGCCAUCUUGGUUGGCCGACGGGGUCAUCAGACACAUUUUUAAAACUAGAUACCCCAAUGAUGAUUGUGGCCAAGUUUGGUUAAAUUUGGCCCUGUAGUUUCUGAGGAGAUUUUUGUAAAAGUAAGACGACGGACGCCAAGUGAUGAAAAAAGCUCACUUGGCCCUUUCGGCCAGGUGAGCUAAAAAGAUAAAAUUUGUCAUUUAAGGGUAAUAAAUCCUAUAAUAAAGAGCUGUGCCAUGAGCGCAUGAUACACCAGUUGCUUUUUCAAAGCACAAAGUUCCAUAACUCCUAAAUGUCAUAUCAGAUAUUUAUAAUCAAAGCUGUUAAAGCAAUUGCUGCCUAGUAAAUGUUUUUGUGACUUUUAUUUUUCAUCCACAUGUAAAAGAAUUAAACCUGACAGGAGUCUUAUCUAGUGAGAA